rnacentral:lncRNA from 1 species
UGUAGGAAAUUUGCAUUCCGUGAGAUAUUUGUUUUCCAGUUUUCUGAACAAAUCGAAUCAGAGUGUCUUGCAGUUAAAACCGUAUAUUUAUUACAAUAUACACAUCAUCCGGUAACAACAAAAGUCUGGUUUAAAAUCAUAUGGACCAAUAGACAAUGUAUAUUCACUUCUAGAUCUUAUCCAAGCUUGAUGUUAAAAGUAUUGGUAUUCUAUUGGUAUUGGUAUUCUAGCUGCAAUGGAUUAUAUACAUUUAAAAUUCAAUUACAUAGGGCGUAUACAUAAUGACAUAAGGUUUGCCUGCUUUACAAUAAUUGGUUAUCUAAGAAAAAAUAGGUGGUAACUUAGUAUUAUUCGAUAUCUAUGAUUAAAGCCAUACGUUAUGAUGUUUUGGUAAGUUACACACAAAGACCUUCUUGAGACUUCUAAUUACAUGAUGGAAUGAAUGAUUCACAGGAAUUCAGGCUUACAAGGCUAGGUCAAAGGUUAUUAUCAACAGGAUCCACAAGUCUCCAUCCAUCAUUCUUGACUUAAAACCAUAUGUGUGUAAAUUACAUUAUGAUAGUAAUCUAUCUGGGUAGGCCUCUCGAUGUCUGGAUAUGCUUAAAUUAAUAACUUACAAUAUUUCUACAUUCCUACAACACGUUGAAUACAUUUAAAGUUUAU